AUGCCUAUGAAUUAUUCACUUGUUAUUGAACCAUUUGAUGUUUGGGGCAUUGAUUAUAUGGGACCUUUUCCUGCCUCUAAUGGAUAUACACAUAUUUUAGUUGAUGUUGAUUACGUUACUAAGUGGGUAGAAGCUAUUCCACCUAGUAGUGCUGAUCAUAACACUUUUAUUAAAAUGCUUAAAGAAGUUAUUUUUCCGAGGUUUGUAGUCCGUAGAUAUUUAAUGACUGAUGGUGGUUCACAUUUUAUGCAUGGUGCUUUUCGUAAAAUGCUUGCUAAAUAUGACGUCAACCAUAGAAUCACAUCUCCAUAUCACCCACAGUCUAGUGGUCAAGUAGAAUUGAGUAAUAGAGAACUCAAAUUAAUUUUGCAAAAGACUGUCAAUAGGUCUAGAAAGAAUUGGUCCAAGAAACUUGAUGAUGCAUUAUGGGCCUAUAGAACUGCAUAUAAAAAUCCUAUGGGUAUGUCUCUGUAUAAAAUGGCAUAUGGAAAAGCAUGUCACUUACCUCUCGAACUAGAACAUAAGGCAUAUUGGGCUAUUAAAGAGCUCAACUAUGAUUUCAAACUUGCCGGUGAAAAGAGGUUAUUUGAUAUUAUCUCACUUGAUGAAUGGAGAACCCAAGCUUAUGAAAAUGCCAAGUUGUUUAAAGAAAAGGUUAAAAGAUGGCAUGACAAAAGGAUACAAAAGCGUGAGUUUAAUGUAGGUGAUUAUGUAUUGCUAUACAACUCUCUUUUAAGAUUUUUUGCAGGGAAACUUCUCUCUAAAUGGGAAGGCUCCUAUGUUAUCGAGGAGGUCUAUCGUUACGGUGCCAUAAAAAUCAACAACUUCGAAGGCACAAAUCCGAAGGUGGUAAACGAUCAAGGAAUCAAACAUUAUAUCUCAGGUAAUCCCAUAAAUGUUGAAACCAAUAUUAUUGAAACUGUAACCCCGGAGGAAUUCAUAAGGGACACUUUCCAGAACGUUUCAGACUCCGAAAAGGGAUAG
rnacentral:rRNA from 1 species